rnacentral:rRNA from 1 species
GACGAACGCUGGCGGCGUGCUUAACACAUGCAAGUCGAACGGGCCCGCUCUCUUUUUUGGGGGUGGGUUGAGUGGCGAACGGGUGAGUAUCACGUGAGUAACCUGCCCCCUGCUCCUGGAUAACUGCUUGAAAGGGCGGCUAAUACGGGGUGUGCCGGCUGGUCCGCAUGGGCCUGGUCGGGAUAGUUUCAUCUUCGGGUUUUUCGGUGGGGGAUGGGCUCGCGGCCUAUCAGCUUGUUGGUGGGGUGAUGGCCCACCAAGGCGGUGACGGGUAGCCGGCCUGAGAGGGUGGGCGGCCACACGGGGACGGAGAGACGGCCAAGAAUCGGGCGGGAGGCAGCAGUGGGGGGUAUUGCACAAGGGGCGGAAGCCUGAUGCAGCGACGUCGCGUGAGGGAUGGAGGCCUUCGGGUUGUGAACCUCUUUCUCCGGUGGUGAAGGCCCUGUCCGUUGCGGCGGGGUUGACGGUAGCCGGGUAUGAAGCGCCGGCUAACUACGUG